UGCUUAAGUUGGAACUGCCGGGGGCUUGGGAACCCCGAGGCAGUUCAUGAGCUUUGCAAUAUCGUGAAGUAAGAAGGGUCUGCCCUACUUUUUGUGCUGGAAACAAAAAUAAGGGCGAAGAGGGUGGAGAGCUUACAGAACACUCUUGGUUUUGUUGGUUGUUUUGCGGUUGAUAGUGUGGGACUCAGUGGUAGCAUCGGGCUAUUUUGGUCAAGAGAUGUUACAGUUGAGUUACGAAACUUCAGUUCUGGCCAUAUCGAUGUGAUAGUCCAGAAAUCUGAUCAGACCUCCCUGUCUUGGAGGUUUACGGGGUUCUAUGGGGCUCCAAGGAGUGAGGACCGGCAUCACAACUGGAGAUGUUUAAGUAACCUGCAUGCAGUUCAACAUCAGGCAUGGCUUUGCUUGGGAGACUUCAAUGAAACCCUAUACGGUACAGAACAUUUCAGCAGAGCGGACAGGCCUGAGUGGCAAAUGCGGGCUUUUCGAGAAGUUCUUGAUGAUUGCUCCCUGCAGACCUAG
rnacentral:rRNA from 1 species